rnacentral:rRNA from 1 species
CAGUCGCCGCGGUAAUACGUAGGGCGCAAGCGUUAUCCGGAAUUAUUGGGCGUAAAGAGCUCGUAGGCGGUUUGUCGCGUCUGCCGUGAAAGUCCGGGGCUCAACCCCGGAUCUGCGGUGGGUACGGGCAGACUAGAGUGAUGUAGGGGAGACUGGAAUUCCUGGUGUAGCGGUGAAAUGCGCAGAUAUCAGGAGGAACACCGAUGGCGAAGGCAGGUCUCUGGGCAUUAACUGACGCUGAGGAGCGAAAGCAUGGGGAGCGAACAGGAUUAGAUACCCUAGUAGUCCCUGUCUCUUAUAA